CUCCAUCCUGACCACGACCUCUAACUGGGGGAAUCUAGGUAGAUCUCAAUCCUGAUCACACCCCCAGCCCUGGGGGUGGAAUUCUAGGCAGGGCUCCACCCUGGUCAUGCCCUUAUCCCCCCCCCAAUUGUUUAGACACUCCUACUAUUUAGUUCAGGCUACCCUUUUAAGUCAUAAUCCUCCUGCCUCAGCUCUAGCUGACUCACCCAGUGUAAUGGGCUUGCUGUCCUCCUGGUCUGAGCCCACUCCUGUCCGGGGACUGCUGCUCUGCUCCGCAUCUGCCAAAAGAGAAAGGGACAAUUAUUGACACGGCAGGGACCUCUGAUCCUAGCUCUGCCAUUUCUGUGCUGUGUGGCCUUCGCGAAUCUGCAGGAGUCACAGCAUGAAUGGACUGGAGGUGGAUGUCACAGGCAGACAGUGACACAAACGACCACCCUCGACCCACCCACAGAAGCUAACGUCAGCCUGGCAGUGCUGUGUCACUUCGCGGAGAGCACUUGACAGUGCUUAAAACACCCGCCAAUCCACUGUUGCAUAAAUAAAAGAGGGGGCCAAACAGAUG
rnacentral:lncRNA from 1 species